rnacentral:piRNA from 1 species
UAGUAAGAUUUUUACAUUUGCCUUUCGCC